AUACGGAGGGUCCGAGCGUUAUCCGGAAUCAUUGGGUUUAAAGGGUCCGUAGGCGGGAAUCUAAGUCAGUGGUGAAAUCUUGCAGCUCAACUGUAAAAUUGCCAUUGAUACUGGAUUUCUUGAAUUAGUGUGAAGUGGUUAGAAUGUGUAGUGUAGAGGUGAAAUGCAUAGAUAUUACACAGGAUACCAAUUGCGAAGGCAGCUCACUAACACUAUAUUGACGCUAAGGGACGAAAGCGUGGGGAGCGAACAGGAUUAGAAACCCGAGUAGUCC
rnacentral:rRNA from 1 species